GCAAGGAAGUAGAAAGGACACCCCAAUGGAAGGUCCUCCCAGGCUCUCGUCACCCCUGGGCCACCCCGCACUGCAGCAGCAGAGGCCACGCGAACCGGCCUGUCACUGUCGCUGGACUUCUGCUCUGGGAAGGGACUAGAUUCAGUCUCGUGGGGAGGCAGCUGGGAUUCAGCAUCAUCUUCAUUCGGGGCUUUGGGAUUCUGACCUCUCUGCCGCUCGGGCUUUGGAGAACCGGGCCUCCCUCCUGACUUCCGGUCCCGGGAACCUGCAAUGUGGACAAGUGGACAAAGGAGUGGUGUUUCCCACGCACAUAGAGAAGCAGAUACGAAGGGCAGAGCCCAGCAAACAGAAAAGGAGCCGUGAGCAGGAAGCACCAGCAAGCAUAACCUGGGGGCGCUCCCGUGGCUGAGACACGCUGUGAGCCCCAAGCCCUCACUGCUGACAAGAGGACAGACCCUACCUCCAGCUCUGGGGCCUUUACCACGUGAGUCUUCAGAUACGAGGGGCAUGGCAGCUGGAAAACAGAACUGAGAGCCCAGUACUGUGGUCCUACUCCACAGUGCCAGGGCAUGGCACAGGCAGUGGGAGAGCAAAUUCUAGGAGCGCAGGUGGACCUGUGUACCUUUCCUGCUCCUGAUAGGCCAGGGACCUGCAGCCAGCCUAGGCCAACCUUCUGAGGGCCUGCCCUGUCCUUCCCCUUUAGGAAGGCAUGGUGGUUUGGCAAAAUCAGGCCUUCUGCUUUACUCAUCAAAGCCCGCCAGGAGGCACUUGCCCUGUCUUUCAAUUUGAGCCAGCGGAUCAUAAAAGGUCACCUCCCUAGAAACACUACAGCCCUGUCGACCUCCCGCCUUCCCUUUCCCGUAAGCACAUAGUGGGGCGUGAGAGGCUAUGCGACAUGAGAUACACAACAGAUGGCAGAGGCCUACAGCUUACAGGAAGCCAGGUAUCAAAGAGAUUUGUGAAAAAGGAAAAACUGGUGCUACUCUUCCUGCCAGGGUUAUCUGCUUUGGAGAACAUGGUUAUACAAAAAGUCUCUGGGGGCCUCAGUUUUUUAAGAGAAAAUGGGAUUCCGAGCCCAGCCAGUCUGGGCACGACAGGUUGACCCUGAGCAGGCCGGGACAGCUCACCUCGG